rnacentral:lncRNA from 1 species
UAUGAUCCGUGUAUAUAGCAAAAUCCUAAAUACACCGUUUGGUGGUGCGCCUGUCAAAUGCGGAACGUACAGAUAAGGUAAUAGCUAACAGGUGAAUAUACUAUUGGUAUCGGUAUCGGAUUCGACCCGGAACUUGUUAAUUAUUGGCAAUAUUAAUUAUGUGGAAAACAAAAGGGUCUGGAGUGGUGUAAUUUUUAAUCUACACCAUUGUUCUAUAUUAGUUAUAUAUAGAGUUGAAUUCUUUGAUUUUUCGUUUUUACCCGAUGACGGCUGACAAAUUGGACCUCGUAAUUUUAGUAUUAUAGAUA